rnacentral:lncRNA from 1 species
UCUGUUUUCCUGUGGGUGCUUUUCCUAAUGAACCGUUGUGGGUACAUUUACAGGGAUGAAUUCAUUUAACCCCAUGUCCUUGGGGAACGUCCAGUUGCCACAAGCACCCAUGGGACCUCGUGCAGCCUCCCCAAUGAACCACUCUGUCCAGAUGAACAGCAUGGGCUCAGUGCCAGGGAUGGCCAUUUCUCCUUCCCGAAUGCCUCAGCCUCCGAACAUGAUGGGUGCACACACCAACAACAUGAUGGCCCAGGCGCCCGCUCAGAGCCAGUUUCUGCCACAGAACCAGUUCCCGUCAUCCAGCGGGGCGAUGAGUGUGGGCAUGGGGCAGCCGCCAGCCCAAACAGGCGUGUCACAGGUACUGUGCCC